AAGCUUUUUCCACAGGUUUCACAAGAAUAUGGCUUCUCACCUGUGUGACAUCUCAUGUGUUCAGUCAAAUGGGUCCGUCGACUAAAGCUUUUUUCACAGGUUCCACAAGAAUAUGGCUUCUCACCUGUGUGACAUCUCAUGUGAACAGUCAAAUGGACCCGUUGACUGAAGCUUUUUCCACAGGUUUCACAAGAAUAUGGCUUCUCACCUGUGUGACAUGUCAUGUGUUCAGUCAAAGAGGUUCGUCGACUAAAGCUUUUUUCACAGGUUCCACAAGAAUAUGGCUUCUCACCUGUGUGACAUCUCAUGUGAACAGUCAAAUGGACCCGUUGACUGAAGCUUUUUCCACAGGUUUCACAAGAAUAUGUCUUCUCACCUGUGUGGG